rnacentral:rRNA from 1 species
UCGAGCGAUUUUCUUCGGAAGAGAGCGGCGGACGGGUGAGUAACGCGUGGGUAACCUGCCCUGUACACACGGAUAACAUACCGAAAGGUAUGCUAAUACGGGAUAACAUAAGAAAGUCGCAUGGCUUUCUUAUCAAAGCUUUUGCGGUACAGGAUGGACCCGCGUCUGAUUAGCUAGUUGGUAAGGUAACGGCUUACCAAGGCGACGAUCAGUAGCCGACCUGAGAGGGUGAUCGGCCACAUUGGAACUGAGACACGGUCCAAACUCCUACGGGAGGCAGCAGUGGGGAAUAUUGCACAAUGGGCGAAAGCCUGAUGCAGCAACGCCGCGUGAGCGAUGAAGGCCUUCGGGUCGUAAAGCUCUGUCCUCAAGGAAGAUAAUGACGGUACUUGAGGAGGAAGCCCCGGCUAACUACGUGCCAGCAGCCGCGGUAAUACGUAGGGGGCUAGCGUUAUCCGGAAUUACUGGGCGUAAAGGGUGCGUAGGCGGUCUUUCAAGUCAGAAGUGAAAGGCUACGGCUCAACCGUAGUAAGCUUUUGAAACUGUAAGACUUGAGUGCAGGAGAGGAGAGUGGAAUUCCUAGUGUAGCGGUGAAAUGCGUAGAUAUUAGGAGGACACCAGUUGCGAAGGCGGCUCUCUGGACUGUA